UGAGGAAUCUUGCGCAAUGGACGAAAGUCUGACGCAGCGAUGCCGCGUGGGGGAUGAAGGCCUUCGGGUCGUAAACCCCUUUGAGUGGGAAAGAAUCGCCGCGGGGUGAACAAUCCCGCGGCCUGACGGUACCCACAGAACAAGCCACGGCUAACUCUGUGCCAGCAGCCGCGGUAAGACAGAGGUGGCGAGCGUUGUUCGGAUUUACUGGGCGUAAAGCGUGGGUAGGCGGUCCGGUCAGUCAGAUGUGAAAUCCCAUCGCUCAACGAUGGAACGGCGUCUGAUACUGCCGGACUUGAGUGCAGGAGAGGAGGGUGGAAUUUCCGGUGUAGCGGUGAAAUGCGUAGAGAUCGGAAGGAACACCAGUGGCGAAGGCGGCCCUCUGGACUGCAACUGACGCUGAGACACGAAAGCGUGGGGAGCAAACAGG
rnacentral:rRNA from 1 species